rnacentral:rRNA from 1 species
UGGGGAAUCUUCCGCAAUGGACGAAAGUCUGACGGAGCAACGCCGCGUGUAUGAUGAAGGUCUUCGGAUUGUAAAGUACUGUCAUUGGGGAAGAACGGUUUUCUUGAGAAUAUUGAGAAGACAUGACGGUACCCAAGGAGGAAGCCCCGGCUAACUACGUGCCAGCAGCCGCGGUAAUACGUAGGGGGCAAGCGUUGUCCGGAAUUAUUGGGCGUAAAGGGCGCGUAGGCGGGCCUUUAAGUCCGGUGUGAAAGAUCAGGGCUCAACCCUGAGAGUGCAUCGGAAACUGGAGGCCUUGAGGACAGGAGAGGAAAGUGGAAUUCCACGUGUAGCGGUGAAAUGCGUAGAUAUGUGGAGGAACACCAGUGGCGAAGGCGACUUUCUGGACUGUAACUGACGCUGAGGCG